rnacentral:rRNA from 1 species
GAUGAACGCUGGCGGCGUGCCUAAUACAUGCAAGUCGAGCGAACGGACGAGAAGCUUGCUUCUCUGAUGUUAGCGGCGGACGGGUGAGUAACACGUGGAUAACCUACCUAUAAGACUGGGAUAACUUCGGGAAACCGUAGCUAAUACCGGAUAAUAUUUUGAACCGCAUGGUUCAAAAGUGAAAGACGGUCUUGCUGUCACUUAUAGAUGGAUCCGCGCUGCAUUAGCUAGUUGGUAAGGUAACGGCUUACCAAGGCAACGAUGCAUAGCCGACCUGAGAGGGUGAUCGGCCACACUGGAACUGAGACACAGUCCAGACUCCUACGGGAGGCAGCAGUAGGGAAUCUUCCGCAAUGGGCGAAAGCCUGACGGAGCAACGCCGCGUGAGUGGUGAAGGUCUUCGGAUCGUAAAACUCUGUUAUUAGGGAAGAACAUAUGUGUAAGUAACUGUGCACAUCUUGACGGUACCUAAUCAGAAAGCCACGGCUAACUACGUG